AUUGCAACCACAGCAGUGAAGUUGACGAGUAAGGCCUCAGAGCCGUAUUUGGCAAGUCCCGAGUUCUCCAAGAAUGUGAGCUUCUCCAAUAACCCUAAAGCAGCAUUGGCAACUGCCAAAAUAUAUACGAAUACCCCAAAUACCACAUGCCAAGGCAGGGACUCGCUCCUAACUGUAGUUGAACCUCCGGGGAAGAAAAAUACAAGAAACCCGUAUAUCCACUGAAUGCCAUAAAGGACAAUGAUCACAAUGCCAAGCCAUGAAUGCAAGCUGUAAAGAUUGGCAAUGCCACUCUCAUUAUGAUAUUUGAAAGCAGUAUAGAUGCCAAUUAUACCCAGAAUUAGUGCAACGGCAUGCAGAACCAAAUGUACCAAUUUCUUCUCUUGUUUCUUCAAAGGAAGAGAUUUAUAACUCAUAAUGGCUU
rnacentral:misc_RNA from 1 species